AUGGGUUCAUAAUUUACCAGGGACAGAGGGAUUAACGUCCUCAGGGUUGUGACGGGUUACGUUACGUCUGUUACGUCGUUCAAAGACGGAAUUUUUAAAAACCGUGAAACGUUGCAGGAGGACAACAUAGAGAUUUUCGAGUGACUAGAUUAGCAGAGUGUCGUCUAGCCAGCAUAAUUGCUGGAUCCCCUCUGCAGCUCCCAUGGAUUUAUGACUGCAACUGAAAUGCUGUUUGUAAAGAUAAGUGCUAUGGAGGAAAGGAGAAGAGAUGGAGGCAAGCUUGUACCUGGAGGUGGCUGAGCGCGGUCCACACUGCAUGAAGUAGGGAGACGAAACUGAAUCCCUGCAAGGAGCAAGCAACACGUGUUAGGACAGCUGCAGAUUGGUGAAGUGGCCGUGGCCUUCAAGGACAAGAAGCUCCUGCGAUACAUGCAAAACUUGAAUCUCAUCCCGAAUGUGUACUGAUCGUCAACUGUCUGGUGAUAAAUCCUCAAUCGUAGGCAAGCAAUACUGACUCAUCACACAGUCUCCAGAAUUAAUGGACAGCUGGCAACAAGAGUCCAUGUCAUGCAGACAGGCCCAUCCAGCCCUGCCUCCCCCAAGGUCACAGGCAGUCUCUCACAGAGCCACGGUACCAGAGCAGCAGAUGGUGUCAAAAUGAUGGCCUAUCAUUACUCAUCCAACGGGUUUACAGGUUAAGGCUUUAAGGCUUUCAGAACUCCCCAUGUGAUUGAGAGAUAUCAGGAUUUGGAAGUGAUCACAGUGUUCAGCUGCUGGCCUGCACGUCGGCAACCACUGAGAAAUGAACAAUCCAUGAAGAGGAACGGAUAACCCGGCCCGAAAGACUGGUAUUUGCCUCCCUAUAGCUGAUCACAAUCAAUAAAAAGUGUUACAUAAUCAUUGGCCAUCGGUACGAUUGGA